UACAGAGGUGGCAAGCGUUGUUCGGAAUUACUGGGCGUAAAGGGCGCGUAGGCGGCCUGAUCAGUCGGGGGUGAAAGCCUGUGGCUCAACCACAGAAUGGCCUUCGAUACUGUCGGGCUUGAGACCGGAAGAGGUAAGUGGAACUGCGAGUGUAGAGGUGAAAUUCGUAGAUAUUCGCAAGAACACCAGUGGCGAAGGCGGCUUACUGGUCCGGAUCUGACGCUGAGGCGCGAAAGCGUGGGGAGCAAACAGG
rnacentral:rRNA from 1 species